AAAAAUUAAUAGUAACGUUGUCUAUUUUAUGUACAUUGCAGUGAUUUUUCAUGUAAAUUCGGAUUGUAUUUACAAUAUUUGAAUAAUAUGAAUUAAAUUGGUUUGAGUAAAAAAAAUCAUUGUUUUGGGCUUGUGUGUUGACUUGUUAUGAGAUACAAACUGCAAAGUAUCAGAAUUCAGAGCGAAAUUAAUUCGACGCAGAAAGGUAGCUUGGUGUUGAUGGAGAACGAUAGUCUGUCGGUAGUGUUUGACUCAGUUAUUUCCGUGUUAUGUGCCAG
rnacentral:lncRNA from 1 species